rnacentral:rRNA from 1 species
GACGAACGCUGGCGGCGUGCCUAAUACAUGCAAGUUGAGCGCUGAAGGUUGGUACUUGUACCAACUGGAUGAGCAGCGAACGGGUGAGUAACGCGUGGGGAAUCUGCCUUUGAGCGGGGGACAACAUUUGGAAACGAAUGCUAAUACCGCAUAAAAACUUUAAACACAAGUUUUAAGUUUGAAAGAUGCAAUUGCAUCACUCAAAGAUGAUCCCGCGUUGUAUUAGCUAGUUGGUGAGGUAAAGGCUCACCAAGGCGAUGAUACAUAGCCGACCUGAGAGGGUGAUCGGCCACAUUGGGACUGGGACACGGCCCAAACUCCUACGGGAGGCAGCAGUAGGGAAGCUUCGGCAAUGGACGAAAGUCUGACCGAGCAACGCCGCGUGAGUGAAGAAGGUUUUCGGAUCGUAAAACUCUGUUGGUAGAGAAGAACGUUGGUGAGAGUGGAAAGCUCAUCAAGUGACGGUAACUACCCAGAAAGGGACGGCUAACUACGUG